rnacentral:lncRNA from 1 species
GGGACAGGAGUUAGCGCAUGUGACACGGUCAAAACCAUCUGCUUGUUUUACCCAAGUGGAGAGAUCAAGUGUGACUAUCACUUGCAGAGCAAGGGACUCGAGAGAACAGGCUGGUAGAGAACACGCUACGGCUGGACCGAUCGAUGUCAGACCGGCAAGCGGCAGGGCCCACUUCAGUCCCACAAUUCUGCCUUUUGCUGUGAAGCCUGUGGACACUGUUAGAGCCAGCGCAUUACAGGGGCUCUGAAGAUGUGACUGACCAGGACAUCGGCUGGUCCACAAAGCAAGGUCUACAGAGGCUCUAUGUAGCACGACUCCUACCUCUUGUCACAGGUGGGUGAAGCACAGGACCCUUGAAGGAGGUGAUGGCGAUCAUUUGAUAGAAAUGUCAAACUCUCUUGGGACUGAGAAGAGGAAAGGGGGAAGGGCUGGAGACGGCUUUUGCUGCUCUUCCAGAGGACUGGAGUUUUGGUUACCAGCAUUCCUAUUAGGGAUUUCACAACAGCUGCAGGGUAUCCAACACCCUCUUCUGGAUUCUGGACUCUACCUGUCUGCACUCUCAUCUACAUACCCGUAGACAUACAUAAUCAAAACAAACAAACCGAACCAAGAAAGGAGAUGAUGAGAAAUGAUUUUAAAAAGGAAAGAGAAAUUCCAUCGGAUCCGUCAGGGAACAGCGACGUAGAGCAGAGAGUCACGGGAUGAAGAGCCUGCUUUCAUAGACACAGGAAACGCUUUCAGGCCCAGAGAUAGUGCUUCAAGCAAAGCCUCAGGCUGGGGAUUGGGCCUGGGAUGGAGCAGGCACACCUCCCGCUUGCACAGUUGUCUGGCCUCUCACUCCCUCAAGCCCUGGGAAAAUCCAUGUGGUUCCCUCAGGCGUCAGGUUCAAUGGUAACAGAAGCAGACGAUGGUGUAUGUCAUAGUUGGCCCCAAAGAAAGGUUCAGAGGUUGCUUUGUUUUGUUUUGUUUUGUUUUUUAACAGUUCUAAAGUUAAUGGGGAAAAAGUAUUUGAGGAAACAGAAGAGCAGAAAAAUCUUGCCAACCAUCCCUAGCAGAACAAAACCAUAACCUAGGGAGAAAGGGGAAGAAGAGGUGGAGGGUGGAGACAUUUUUUCCAGGGCCGAAGAAGUCUGGCUUGUCACACAAAGCAGGAAAUCAGCGGUUGCCCCUGCCAAAUGUAAUUCUGAGCGGGAAUUUUGAAGUGAACCGCCGAAUGAAUGAAUCUUCUGAAUUCAAGCAUUUUUGCAGUUUUCCAUCACUCUCCCUACAAGUCACUAAAUGUCACUGCAGCUUAAACUCACCACCCCUGGCAAGGAUUCCUUUUCCAGUGUCACAGUCUUCAGGGAAUACCGAAGAAUAAUUCCACAGAGGAACAGCCCUGGGUGGGGCCUGAAAUCCCUUUAACCAUUUAGAAGGCGGCUAUUUUGGGAUUUUUUAUUUCUCAUUAUUACUGUGGGGUAUUGUGGGUUCCAGCUGAUAUUUUCUGGUGCCCAGAUAAGGUCUUAGCAAUGUCAUCGCAGGACAAAUACCUACAGCUGCUCGUGUGACUGCUGAGGGUGUGUGUGAGGGGAGAAGCACGGGCUCACUGUGGCCCCUUGGGGACCAACAGAGGUGUCCAGCCCUAAAACUUAUGACAUACUAGGGGCAUCCCUCUCACACUGUCCCUGGGGCAGAUUUGGAAGCUACCUAGAACCUGGUACUAGCGGGGGAAAAUCUGGUGGCGCGGGGCUUCGUGUUUUGCAACUUUUUCCUGUAAGCUACAUUGUUGGAAUGGUUUCACGGGCAAACCAUCCCUCCUCCCACACUGGCCUCAACUUCCAGGUCUCCACCCUGCAGUGUUGUAAACACCAGUGUAUCACCAGGCUGAUUCACACCCUGCAGGCAGAGCUCCAGUGAGGGUACAUGCUACGCAGACCCAGCAGGUACUUUGGUAUCCUCUGCCAGGGCACGGGAUGACAAACCAGCCUUUAUCUUUGAAGUUGGCAGGAGCAGGCAAACAGGCCACGCCCCCAAAGUUUUCCCCAGUUGGAAUACAACCCCCUAGCCCAUCAAAAUAAUACUGAAGGACAGAGAAUCAGCUGUACCUUGGUAGGUCUCUGGACUUAGGCAGAGGUUGACUGAUAACAGAGAAAGAAAAUUUAAGAGCUGACAGACAACUGUAGCUUUACAAAGACAUUAAGCACUAGGUUUGUGAGCCAUCUGAAACGCCCAGUUUUUCUCCCUCCUCUUAUCUCUAGCUUGAAGUGUUUGUCCCUUUUCUUGUAGGAGACUCUAACACACAUCUGUGGCAGAGGAACAACACACCUUGGACUAAGGGGCAGCGGAUAUGAGAGAAAGGCAGAAGAGGGCAGGGAUAGGAAAUGUAGACUGGGUGUGCUUCAAUCAAUGUUUUCACAAAAUUAUUUGCAAAGCUGAUGGGGUUUAUCCACUCAACCAACUGUUAUGUGAAUAAAUCCAGAAGCCAUGGGAUUCACCUUUGGUUCUAAAUAAC